UACGUAGGGGGCAAGCGUUGUCCGGAUUUAUUGGGCGUAAAGAGCUCGUAGGUGGUUCGGUAAGUCGGAUGUGAAAUCUCCAGGCUCAACCUGGAGGGGUCAUUCGAUACUGCCGUGACUAGAGGUCGGUAGGGGAGUGUGGAAUUCCUGGUGGAGCGGUGAAAUGCGCAGAUAUCAGGAGGAACACCCGUAGCGAAGGCGGCACUCUGGGCCGAUACUGACACUGAGGAGCGAAAGCGUGGGGAGCGUACAGG
rnacentral:rRNA from 1 species